GCACUGGGCCGAUCCAUAACUCAGUCGAAAACGUUUCCUGCACCGGCGCUGCGCUCGGAACUUCAAUUAUGCGGACGAUUAUCAAGAUACCGCGGCGGAAAUGGCAUUCUGUGAUGCUGACUCUCCUCUACAUUGCCGUGAUCAACCUAAUCCUCAUCUUUAUGGUCCGUUGGUACGUCCUGAAAGAAAACGUGGUGCAAAUCGAACGGAUUCAACCAGCAACCCCGAAGCCGGAAGCCGAGCCGACAAAUAAAACCGGUCCGCCGGGGGAUGUGCUGGAGCGGUUGGCGUUCUUGCCGAACCCGUUCGCUCUGAUCAACAACGAGACCGGGGCCGACGAGGACAUCGUGCCCAACAUCGUCCACUUCAUCGUGAUGAGGAACCCGGAGGUCAGCUUCCUCAUGUUCGUCAGUCUCCUCGCCUGCCUCCGCAACCACAACCCCGACAAGAUCUACAUCCACUCCAACGUGCAGCUAACAGGUAAAUUUUGGGAUCGGAUGAUGAGGCUGAAGGAAUUCACGGACAAGCUGAUCUUGCAGGACAUCGUCAUGCCGACCGAGAUCUUCGGGCAACCAAUCGCGGAGGACAUGCAAGUGUUUCACGGCGGGGACAUCGCCCGAAUUCGGGUGCUCAUGGAGUACGGGGCAUCUUCCUCGACAACGACUCAUACGUCGUUCGUAGCCUCAACCCCUUUCGCAAAUUCGAGUUUACCAUCGGUUGGGACGAGGGCCAGUUUCUUGGGACGCAGAUAAUCCUGGCGCACAAGCAGGCCCGCUUCCUGGACCUGUGGCUCCACACCUACGACGGCAACUACAAGGGAGAGGAGUGGUACUACAACGCGGGCGAGCUCCCGACCAAAUCCGUGCUCUGGCGGCGGCCGGACCUCGUCCACCGGGUCAAGGUCCUCUUCGGCAACGACAACAGGUUCCAGGGCAACCUCUUCCAGCGCUACUGGCCCGCCUGGCGGAAGCACCACUUCACGUUCCACCUCCUCAUCCGUCGCAAGCACCAGGCCGCCCUCCACAGCAUCAACCGCAAGGCCAAGUACCCCGUCGAGUUCGACGACGUCAACCUCCAGGACUACCCCAUCACCUUCCGCGAGAUGGCCAACGAGGUCCUCGACUUCGAGAAGGCACUCCUCAAGCACAGUAAUCUUCUCUAAAAGAAUGUUAUAGACCAAUGAACUACACCUCUAGAAUGGCCGCCAGAUAGCAAACCUGCGGAAAAGGCAUGGGCCGGUUUUUGAAGGCAGGAAGGGGGUGGGAGCCCAAGUAUAGCUAACCACAAUCUCCAAUUCUGCUGCGUCUUGCACUUAAAGAUUACAUGUGUAAAUUUCAACCUUUGUAAACUUUAAUUAUUUUGAGGUUUGCUUUCAAAAAUCCUAUUUUUUGAGUAAUGGAAACCUUUCGAGAUGCGAUUAUUAUGCAAUAUUUUCAUUGUUAUAACUUGACUCAACAAUAUUGGGCAAAAUAUGGGCAGUGUCUAACUUGGGUUUAGAUGGCAGCCUGCCGUGUGAGCCCGAGUAAACCUAACCUAUAUCAAAUUCAAAACGUUACGGGUCUCUAACACUGGUCAGCCAUUCUAGAGGUGUAGUUCGUUGUUCUAGACACGACUCUUGAAACUCUGUAGUAUAACCUUUUCCCAUUGAGUGCAAUAGAGUUGCUACGUACUCUGCCGUGCUGAGUAAAGCCGCUAACACACGUACACUCCGAAGGUACAUUCUGGCCUACUGCGCAUGCGCCGGCAUCGAGAAUGUACACUCAUCAUUCUCUUGGAAAAUAAUUUACAGUUUGACGAGAAGAAGAAGAUACCCGCGAUGAUCUUUUACUCAUUCCUUUAACUUAUAGUUGUUCAAGAGAACAAAAUGAGGAACAUUCUCAAUGCCCGCGCAUGCGCAGUAGGCCAGAAUGUACAUUCGGAGUGUACGUGUGUUAGCGGCUUAAAACCCCCGUGGGAACCUGCAGGCGUUGCCACAUUUCCUCCAAUAAAAUACGAGUUUUCAAGGAAAUUGCGAGAAAGUUCCCUUGAAAAUAUACGAAAAAGAGCACAAGGGUCACGGACCAUUCGCAUUUUAACAGGUGAAAUUUGUCGAAGUCAGAGGCGGGUUUAGCAAUUUGGCAACACCGGAUUCCCUCCAUUUUUAAACCGAUAUGAAAAAGUCGAUUCUUGUUGGAUCACCUGGCUCCUCCAAGAAUCCCUAUAUCCAUAGCUGAAAAUGUACAAAAACAAUAUUACCAAUUUGCUGGAUCCACCAAUGGUCGACGUCCAAAUAUUUAUACGACUUUUUCCUCAGUACUGCAAAAUUGGCAACGGCAAGACUGUGGCUGUACCCCUAUUCUGUCAUUUUGCAAUAAUUGAGCAUAAAAAGCAUUAAUUAUAUCACCCAGUGUUAAGAAGUAUCUCUUAUCAGUUGUUUGUAGAACUGUCCAACAUGAAUUUUCCCCUUUCCUCGGUUUUAUGCUCUAGGUACUCCCCAUCUAAUUUGGGUCAAGCCAUUCACACGCAUUCAAGUUACGAAAACAAAAAAACGGCUCCGACACUACAUUCUCAAUAUUCUUCAUUCUUUUAACUUUUGUUAACUUCUCACGUCGCGUAGUGUUCCUAUCUCGCAGUGACCCUUCAAGAGUUCCCACAGUACCCCGCACUUUAAUUGUAAACAGUUUUUUUGUGUGUAAAAUUACAUUUUUUGAACUGGGACCUUCAAACCUCUGUAACUUUGGUCUAAUCUUUUAUUGCAUAUUUUUUGAAAAAAUAAUCGCCUAGCACUCCUCUGCGCUCUAGUAUCAAACACUUGUUUCUGAGAACUAAGACCUCAUUUCUGUCACAUUUAUGCAACAUAACCGGUCAUAUUCAAAUUCUAAAUCUGGUGGAUUAGCGUUCGAUACAAGUUCGAAAUAGGGAAUUUAUGGGGAUUAUUAUUAGGAAACAUGAAUUUAGUGGAAAAAGGUGGUUAUCAGUGUUUGGGAAGCAAACGAAGCUGGCGGGUUACGUUGGACCGCAUUCUGCUCCUGGGCAUCUUCCUGUUUGUCCUGUUCAUCUACGCCGCCGUCCUGUACAGCCUCUCUGAAGGGACCUGGAAGAAGUUAUUGCCCGGCUCGCAAGUGAGGGUUACCAAUCCUGCAACGACCACGACUUUCUCACCGAGGCCCUUGCCACCGCCCAACUCCGUCCAACCAAACCCAUAGGUCUAGAUACACGAUCAAAUUCCGAACCAAUGGAGAUGUUUCAUGUGUGAGGGAUUUGCGAUUUCACUAUUGAUUCUUAUGUAAAAGUUCGCGAGAAACACGAUGGUGUCUCUGGUUUUCUCUAAAAUCAACUCCCAAGCUCAAAAUAAGUUCUCAAGUUGAGGCCAAAAUGGAGGGGAUAUCCCUCGCUAUCCUGAGAGUCCACCUCUACAUCAAGACAAACUCUCCAUGCAAAGAUAGGGAGUAAAUACAUUAGCGGAGUUGCCGUGUUUUCAGUUUUGGAGUCCCCAAAUAAAGUGGCAGCCCUGUCAAUGUUUUUGCUCCCUAUCUUGCAUUGAGAGUUUGUCUUGCUAUAGAGGUG
rnacentral:lncRNA from 1 species